rnacentral:rRNA from 1 species
UACGUAGGUGGCAAGCGUUGUCCGGAAUUACUGGGUGUAAAGGGAGCGUAGGCGGGGGUUUAAGUUGGAUGUGAAAUACCGCAGCUCAACUGCGGGGCUGCAUCCAAAACUGGAUCUCUUGAGUGAAGUAGAGGCAAGCGGAAUUCCUAGUGUAGCGGUGAAAUGCGUAGAUAUUAGGAGGAACACCAGUGGCGAAGGCGGCUUGCUGGGCUUUUACUGACGCUGAUGCUCGAAAGCGUGGGGAGCAAAC